GUCUACAGCCAUACCACCCUGAACCUGCCUGAUCUCAUCUGAUCUCAGAAGAAAUGAUCGAGUUAAGAGACAAAAAGUAGAAAGAAAAAAUAUUUGCAAUCUAUUUAUCUGACAAAGGACC
rnacentral:rRNA from 10 species